rnacentral:rRNA from 1 species
GAGUUUGAUCCUGGCUCAGGACGAACGCUGGCGGCGCGCCUAACACAUGCAAGUCGAACGAGCGAGAGAGAGCUUGCUUUCUCAAGCGAGUGGCGAACGGGUGAGUAACGCGUGAGGAACCUGCCUCAAAGAGGGGGACAACAGUUGGAAACGACUGCUAAUACCGCAUAAGCCCACGGUGCCGCAUGGCACAGAGGGAAAAGGAGCAAUCCGCUUUGAGAUGGCCUCGCGUCCGAUUAGCUAGUUGGUGAGGUAAUGGCCCACCAAGGCGACGAUCGGUAGCCGGACUGAGAGGUUGAACGGCCACAUUGGGACUGAGACACGGCCCAGACUCCUACGGGAGGCAGCAGUGGGGAAUAUUGCACAAUGGGGGAAACCCUGAUGCAGCGACGCCGCGUGGAGGAAGAAGGUCUUCGGAUUGUAAACUCCUGUUGUUGAGGAAGAUAAUGACGGUACUCAACAAGGAAGUGACGGCUAACUACGUGCCAGCAGCCGCGGUAAAACGUAGGUCACAAGCGUUGUCCGGAAUUACUGGGUGUAAAGGGAGCGCAGGCGGGAAGACAAGUUGGAAGUGAAAUCUAUGGGCUCAACCCAUAAACUGCUUUCAAAACUGUUUUUCUUGAGUAGUGCAGAGGUAGGCGGAAUUCCCGGUGUAGCGGUGGAAUGCGUGGAUAUCGGGAGGAACACCAGUGGCGAAGGCGGCCUACUGGGCACCAACUGACGCUGAGGCUCGAAAGUGUGGGUAGCAAACAGGAUUAGAUACCCUGGUAGUCCACACCGUAAACGAUGAUUACUAGGUGUUGGAGGAUUGACCCCUUCAGUGCCGCAGUUAACACAAUAAGUAAUCCACCUGGGGAGUACGACCGCAAGGUUGAAACUCAAAGGAAUUGACGGGGGCCCGCACAAGCAGUGGAGUAUGUGGUUUAAUUCGACGCAACGCGAAGAACCUUACCAAGUCUUGACAUCCCUUGACGAUGCUGGAAACAGUAUUUCUCUUCGGAGCAAGGAGACAGGUGGUGCAUGGUUGUCGUCAGCUCGUGUCGUGAGAUGUUGGGUUAAGUCCCGCAACGAGCGCAACCCUUAUGGUCAGUUACUACGCAAGAGGACUCUGGCCAGACUGCCGUUGACAAAACGGAGGAAGGUGGGGAUGACGUCAAAUCAUCAUGCCCUUUAUGACUUGGGCUACACACGUACUACAAUGGCGUUAAACAAAGAGAAGCAAGACCGCGAGGUGGAGCAAAACUCAGAAACAACGUCCCAGUUCGGACUGCAGGCUGCAACUCGCCUGCACGAAGUCGGAAUUGCUAGUAAUCGCAGAUCAGCAUGCUGCGGUGAAUACGUUCCCGGGCCUUGUACACACCGCCCGUC